CCCCGUACCUCCCCCUCAUGGCUCCUCUCUUUAUCACCGGCGCCAUGGCUGUGCUCGGAGGAGGACCGCCGAUGCCAGGUUGACGAGGAUGAUGAGGUAACUGUUGGCGAGGGCAAAGCGAAGUCGUCAGAUCCGUCACCACCGCUAUUCUCCUACUCACCACCGCCGCUGUUCUCCUACUGGCCGCCUCCGUCGUCCACAUGCUCCUCCUCACGACCAUGAAAGUUGGCUGAGGUCUAGCCUCCCAUCCAUACGCAGAUUAUGCAAGUAUAUGCUUGGUCUGCAUAUUAGUACCGGCUAGCAAGCACAGGAACGACGACUUGGAUCUAAUGACUUGAUAUUCCAAUCCACCGAGAAAUCAGUUUUGACUCAAAAUGAUGCAUGCCUGAACCAUGAGCAUUAUUUGUUUGUCCGCUAAGCAAAUUGUGUCUGGAUGCAGAAAGUGAAAGCAUCAGAUUGAGUGAUUCAGAUCAAUUCUUGCGUUGUAUGCCUGUGAGAGAGCUGGCAGGACGAACAAGGAAUUUUACAAAACGUUAGCACAAAGAAGAUGCUUCUGGCCUACUACAUGAACUCGUUCUUGCCGACUUUAUCCUCUGUUUAUUUGCUCCGCGAGGUUGUUUGUUGGUUCGUGGGACGUCUGUGUCGUUAACCAACAAGGCGUUGUUAUCAUUACUUCCUCUCCCCUCGCUGGCUCGUCAUCUGCUUGCUAUCAAGCUUUGUGCUUCCUGUUUGACCUUUGUCUUCUCAUACUGCUGUAGUACUACCAAGGCACGGUUGAUCUUCUAUGGUCUUCGAAGCAUGACUUUAACUACUGAUACAUACACAACUAGAUGGAUUGGACAUUUAUGAAUGUCAUCAUUGUAUUUAUCUUACAAAAUGCGUGAAUCUAACUAAUUACAAGUGAAAACAUUUCUUGCCAUCGAAACGGAAUGGUAGUUUCCCCUGCAUUGUGAUAAUUAAUUUACAUCUGCAUUAUAGUAAGCUCGAAAUCCGAUAAAGUGUCAUCAGAAAUGAGCAUGGAUUAGUUUAUGAAUAAGAAAGCUUUCUUACUCCAGUGGAGCUUAGUGUCGCAGCAAUAUCUCGGUUUUGCUUCUCCGCAAGAACUCUAACUAUAUGUAAUAGUGCUAUAACUUUCAUCAUCGCAUAAAGUACAUCAAAAGUU